GUAAAUAUAGCUUAAACAAAGUGUUAGAUUGUGAAUCUAAAGUUAGAGAUUAACCCCUCUUAUUUACC
rnacentral:tRNA from 1 species